rnacentral:miRNA from 1 species
GGGUGCGGGCGGGCGGUG